rnacentral:rRNA from 1 species
ACUGAAGGCUGAAAUUCGCCUUCACGAAGUCGGAAGUUGCUAGUAAUGGCAGGUCAGCAUACUGCCGUGAAUACGUUCCCGGGCCUUGUACACACCGCCCGUCACACCAUGAGAGUUAGGAAUACCCGAAGCCUGUGAGCCAACUUUAUAAGAGGCAGCAGUCGAAGGUAGAACUAAUGAUUGGGGUGAAGUCGUAACAAGGUAUC